rnacentral:rRNA from 1 species
UAAGGAAUAUUGCUCAAUGGGAGAAAUCCUGAAGCAGCAACGCCGCGUGGAGGAUGAAGGGUCUAUGACUUGUAAACUCCUGUAAAGAAGGAAAAAAUUCCCAUUAGAUGGGAGAUGAUGGUACUUCUGGAGUAAGCCCCGGCUAACUACGUGCCAGCAGCCGCGGUAAUACGUAGGGGGCAAGCGUUGUCCGGAUUUACUGGGUGUAAAGGGUGCUCAGGCGGAUUUGUAAGUCAGAGGUGAAAUCUUACAGCUUAACUGUGAAACUGCCUUUGAUACUGCAAGCCUAGAGUAUGGAAGAGAGUGAUGGAAUAUCUGGUGUAGCAGUGAAAUGCGUAGAUAUCAGAUAGAACACCAAUGGCGAAGGCAGUCACUUGGUCCAUUACUGACGCUAAAGCACGAAAGCGUGGGCAGCAAACA